GACGAACGCUGGCGGCGUGCCUAACACAUGCAGGUCGAACGAGGUCCAAGGGAGCUUGCUCCCUGACGACCUAGUGGCGAACGGGUGAGUAACACGUGAGAAACCUGCCUCGGAGUGGGGAAUAACUCGGGGAAACUCGAGCUAAUACCGCAUACCUUCACAUGAUCGCAUGGUCGAGUGAAGAAAGAAUUUCGCUCUGAGAGGGUCUCGCGGCCUAUCAGCUAGUUGGUGGGGUAACGGCCUACCAAGGCAACGACGGGUAGCUGGUUUGAGAGAACGAUCAGCCACACUGGGACUGAGACACGGCCCAGACUCCUACGGGAGGCAGCAGUGGGGAAUCUUGCGCAAUGGGCGAAAGCCUGACGCAGCAACGCCGCGUGCGGGAUGACGGCCUUCGUGGUUGUAAACCGCUUUCAGCAGGGACGAAAUUGACGGUACCUGCAGAAGAAGCCCCGGCUAACUACGUGCCAGCAGCCGCAGUAACAC
rnacentral:rRNA from 1 species